GAUGAACGCUGGCGGCGUGCCUAACACAUGCAAGUCGAGCGAACAGACGAGGAGCUUGCUCGUCUGACGGUGGCGGCGGGCGGGUGAGUAACACGUGGAUAACCUACCUAUGAGACUGGGAUAACUUCGGGAAACCGGAGCGAAUACCGGAUAAUAUAUUGAACCGCAUGGUUCAAUAGUGAAAGUCGGUUUUGCUGUCUCGUAUAGCUGGUUCCGCGCCGCAGUAGCUAGUUGGUAAGGUAAAGGCCUACCAAGGCAACGAUGCGUAGCCGACCUGAGAGGAGGAUCGGCCACACUGGAACUGAGACACGGUCCAGACUCCUACGGGAGGCAGCAGUAGGGAAUCUUCCGCAAUGGGCGAAAGCCUGACGGAGCAACGCCGCGUGCGUGAUGAAGGCCUUCGGAUCGUAAAACUCUUUUAUCAGGAAAGAAAAAAUGUGUAAGUAACUCGGCCCGUCUUGACGGUACCUACUCAAAAAGCAACGGCUAACUACGUG
rnacentral:rRNA from 1 species